CCCACGGCGGACGCCGUGGGCUAUUAUCUUGCGCCUCUCCGAGGCU
rnacentral:sRNA from 1 species